rnacentral:lncRNA from 1 species
CUUCAGAUAGUAUGUCCGGCACUUUCUGCUUCAAGCCGUCAACAUAUUUCUUAAUCUCCUUUUCUAAAGUGAGAUUUGCUUUCACAUUUUCAAUGUACAGUUUAAGGUCCUGGUCUAUUUUCAAAGCACCAAACACGUCUUGUACUUUCAUUUUUACCAAUUCUGACAUUUGAUAUGUAUGCUUUGAUACGGUCAUUGGCAUUGGACAUAUCAAUCGAUGCCACGAGAGUCCCUUGUUGGGUAUCGAGUAGAGGAGCAUUAACCAAUUUGCUCUUUUCAUUAAUGGCAGACGUCCCGGUCAAACAAAAUAAAAUUAUAAUUCCAAUACAAUGUCUUUUGAAAAAUAGUGAUUUCUUCAUGUUCACUUAUAUAAUAUUUGCAUGUAUACUGCCUUAAUCAAAGACUACACUAUUUGUUUAAUUUGUCUUAUCAAAAACAUUC